GAAGUNNAAGUCGUAACAAGGUUUCCGUAGGUGAACCUGCGGAAGGAUCAUUACCGAGUGAGGGCCCUCUGGGUCCAACCUCCCACCCGUGUUUUCCGAACCCUGUUGCUUCGGCGGGCCCGCCUCACGGCCGCCGGGGGGCUUCCGCCCCCGGGCCCGCGCCCGCCGAAGACACCUGUGAACGCUGUCUGAAGUUGCAGUCUGAGAAACUAGCUAAAUUAGUUAAAACUUUCAACAACGGAUCUCUUGGUUCCGGCAUCGAUGAAGAACGCAGCGAAAUGCGAUAACUAAUGUGAAUUGCAGAAUUCAGUGAAUCAUCGAGUCUUUGAACGCACAUUGCGCCCUCUGGUAUUCCGGAGGGCAUGCCUGUCCGAGCGUCAUUGCUGCCCUCAAGCACGGCUUGUGUGUUGGGCCCCCGCCCCCCCCCGCGCUGGGGGGGCGGGCCCGAAAGGCAGCGGCGGCACCGCGUCCGGUCCUCGAGCGUAUGGGGCUUCGUCACCCGCUCUUGUAGGCCCGGCCGGCGCCAGCCGACCCCCCUCAAUCNANUUUUUCAGGUUGACCUCGGAUCAGGUAGGGAUACCCGCUGAACUUAAGCAUAUCAAUAAGCGGAGGAA
rnacentral:misc_RNA from 1 species